CGUUAGCGGCGGACGGGUGAGUAACACGUGGGUAACCUACCUAUAAGACUGGGAUAACUUCGGGAAACCGGAGCUAAUACCGGAUAAUAUUUCGAACCGCAUGGUUCGAUAGUGAAAGAUGGUUUUGCUAUCACUUAUAGAUGGACCUGCGCCGUAUUAGCUAGUUGGUAAGGUAACGGCUUACCAAGGCGACGAUACGUAGCCGACCUGAGAGGGUGAUCGGCCACACUGGAACUGAGACACGGUCCAGACUCCUACGGGAGGCAGCAGGU
rnacentral:rRNA from 1 species